GAUGAACGCUGGCGGCGUGCCUAAUACAUGCAAGUAGAACGUUUAAGGAAGGAGUUUGCUCUUUCCGGUUGAGUUGCGAUCGUGUGAGUAACGUGUAGGUAACCUGCCUGGUAGCGGGGUAUAACUAUUGGAAACGAUAGCUAAUACCGCAUAACAGUAGAUUUUGCAUGAUAUCUACUUAAAAGUUGCAAUUUCACCACUACCAGAUGGACCUUCGUUGUAUUAGCUAGUUGGUGAGUUAACGGCUCACCAAGGCGACGUUACAUAGCCGAACUGAGAUGGUGAUCGGCCACACUGGGACUGAGACACGGCCCAGAGGGCUGCGGGAGGCAGCAGUAGGGAAUCGUCAGCAAUGGACGGAAGUCAGACAGAGCAACGCCGCGUGAGAGAUGAAGAAAGACGGAUCGGAAAGCUCUGAUGUAAGAGAAGAACGAGUGUGAGAGUGGAAAGAACACAGUGUGAAGGUAUCUGACCAGAAAGGGACGGCUAACUACGUG
rnacentral:rRNA from 1 species